UGCGCCGGCGCAGAUUACUCUCCAAAGAAAUAACAUCACACCACAAAAAGUCAGUUCAUCAAACACAAGCCACUGGCUCACAGCACGAACACUGAGCAGGGCAGGCACCCUACCGUGAGGGCCUUCCCCUAUGCCGCCUCGGAGGUUAGGCCCGCGCCUAUGCUUCGCCUGUGCCAAUACCACCGCCGCAUCAUCUUCCUCCACUCCGUCCCGUCGGCGCCUGCGCCUACGCAUCCCGCCUUACCAGGGCCAUGCCAAGCCCAUCGGCUUCUCGGCGACGGCGAUGUGCGCCGCCGGUUCCCUGCCCGGCCCUGUCGCGCAGGACGACGACGCAGUGUCAGGAUAUCGUCUCCCUCCAAAGGAAAUUCAGGAAAUUGUGGAUGUGCCACCGAACCCCAGUUACCAUCUCUCCCCUCGCCGAGAUAGGAUCAUGUUCCUGAAACGUAGAGCUAUGCCUCCGUUGUCCGAGCUCGCAAAACCCGAUAAAAUACUUGCUGGCAUACGGAUCGAUUCCAGCUCUAACAUGAGGAGUCGAAUGUCCUUUUAUACUGGGAUUAGUAUCCAUUUGCUGAUGGAUGAUGGAAGUUUGGGUCCAGAGAAAGUGGUCCAUGGAUAUCCAGAUGGUGCAAAAAUUAAUUUUGUAACAUGGUCACCAGAUGGUCAGAAUGUGGCCUUCACUGUGCGUUAUGAAGAUGAGGUCAUUAGCUGAUGCUUUGGAUAUGAAAUGGGAGCACCCUUUGAGGGGAUAUCAGAAUCUGGAGAAGCUCGGCCACUUUUCAGACAAACAGACAUAAGACUGAAUGCUAUUUUUGAGCUAUUUGUGUGGGUGGAUCAUUCUACCCUGUUGGUCUGCACUAUUCCUUCAUCACGUGGUGAUUCUCUGAAGAAGCCAUUGGUUCCUUUUGGUCCAAGGAUUCGCUCCAAUGAGCAGAACAAUGUCAUCCAGAUGAGAGCCACAAAAGAAAUGCUGAAAGAUUUGCAUGAGGAAGAAUUGUUCGAUUACUAUGCAACCUCUCAGUUAGUACUGGUUUCGUUGGAUGGGAUAGUGAAACCAGUAGCUUCCCCUGCUAUAUAUACUUUCCUUAAUCCUUCACCAGAUGAAAAGUACUUGAUGCUCACCUGUGUUCACAAGCCAUAUUCUUCUAUAGUCUCGUAUAAAAGGUUUCCCAAGAAGGUUGAGUUGUGGACAGUUCAUGGUAGAUUUGUCCGCGAACUUUGUGAUCUACCCCUUGCUGAAAAUAUUCCAAUUGCAGCCAACAGCGUCCGUAGGGGAAAACGUUUAAUCAGGUGGAGGCCUGACAUGCCUUCUACCUUAUAUUGAAGGAUCUCUUGGUGCUAUGGAUUGCAUGCACUGGUAUAUGAAUAUUGGCACAAGACAUGCAGAACAAGAACAUGGGUCAUCUCCCCUGAUUGCAAUGAUCUUAGCCCACGAUUAUUAUUUGAUAGAUCUUCUGAAGAUGCUUACUCAAGUCCAGGCUCUCCAAUGAUGUGCAGAACUCCCGCAGGCACCCUUGUCAUUGCAAAAAUUAAGACAAACUAUGAAGGGACCUAUAUCCUAAUGAAGGGACAGGGUGCCACACCAAAAGGAGGCAUCCCUUUUCUUGAUCUCUUAAACAUAACUACGGGAGCGAAAGAGCGGAUAUGGGAAAGUGGUGUAGACAAGUACUAUGAAUCUGUUCUUGCACUGAUGUCAUACCAUCCUAAAUGUGAAAUCCAGCUAAAUGAACUAAAAUUUCUCAUAUCGAAGGAGUCGAGAAGCGAAGCUGCCCAAUAUUAUGUUAGUAUCUGGCCUGAUAAGAAGCAAGUCCAGAUUACAAGUUAUCCCCAUCCAUAUCCUCAGCUGGCAUCAUUGCAGAGAGAAAUAAUCAGAUACGAGCGAGAUGAUGGUGUUAAACUUACUGCUACAUUGUAUCUGCCUCCAGGCUAUAAUCCAUCGAAAGAUGGGCCUCUUGCAUGCUUGAUUUGGUCUUAUCCUGGAGACUUUAAAAGCAGAGAGGCUGCUGGACAAGUCCGUCGUUCACCCAAUAAAUUGCACGCAUUAACAACAGUUUUCCUCUUCUUUGGUUAUCUAGAGGGUUUGCUGUUUUGGCUGACCCGACAAUCCCUAUAAUUGGUGAAGGAGACGAGGAGGCGAAUGACAGGUACAUAGAGCAGCUGAUUGCUAGUGCGGAAGCAGCGGUAAAUGAAAUUGUAAGAAGAGGGGUUGCUCACCCUGACAAAAUUGCUGUGGGCGGUCAUUCAUAUGGUGCAUUUAUGACUGCUAACCUCUUGGCACAUGCACCUCAUCUUUUCUGCUGCGGAAUCGCUCGCUCUGGAGCCUACAACAGGACACUGACUCCAUUUGGCUUUCAGGUUCAGCUCUGCCUAUUCAUUUAAGGAAGGAACAUAACUCAAACGUUGUGUCACCUGUCCCAGGUGGACUCCCUCUAGACACGACUGCACAACACGCUUUCAGGUGGACUUGUCUCUGUUGAUUUCUCCAUAUCUUUUGCUUGCAGAAAGAGGUGAGGACGCUCUGGGAAGCUGCCGAUACCUAUAUUAAGAUGAGCCCCUUCAUGAUAGCUAACAAAAUCAAGAAACCAAUUCUACUGAUACAUGGAGAAGAAGACAGCAAAGUUACAACAGCAAUGCAGUCAAGUCAAUUUUAUGAUGCUUUGAAAGGGCAUGGGGUGCCAUGCCGUCUUGUAAUUCUCCCAUUCGAGGGGCACCGAUAUGCUGCAAGGGAAAGCGUUCUGCAUGUAAUUUGGGAGACUGAUAGGUGGCUGCAGAAAUAUUGUGCAAGUAAUUCUAGCAGCACCCUGAUUAUCAAAUCCAGUGGUGAGUGGUGAGACAACACAAUCACAUGUUGAUGGUGCACCAGCAUGUGAAGCUUUAACGUUGAACUUCACCAAGAUAUCUAGUCUGAGCAAGCUGAUACUAAUGGCCUUGGAUCAUAUCGGUGUAGGAAACUUUAAAGAUAACUCACAAUGAUAUUGAUGUGUUUCCAUGUGCACACAGAAUAGUAUCACUUCAUUCACUGCUCUGUUUCCAUAUCAUUCUUGACUCUUGUAACGCGAGACUCGGUAAUCAUAUUCAUACAUGCCAAUAAACACCAUUGCUAUAUAUGUACUUGUUGUCUGCUUCUCAAGUUGAUAUCUUCUUUGGAGUUCCUUUCUUGAAUGUCACGGCAUCAUAUCAAAGUGUUAUAUUAUGAAGCUUUGCUAGUACAGAAAUUUAAGGCCUGAAGACACCAACACUACAAUUCCAAUUAUGAUGAAGCAUAACGAGGGUAAAAUUCGAUCCCAUCCUGUUAACCAAUGGUGCUUCAGUGAGGUCAUUAUGUUCGUUCCCAAACUCAUUCUGCACAUAUGCUCUGUAUCUGAGGCACGAAUCGAUGCGAUUCAAACCUCUUUUUACUGGUAAAAUUGCAAAACAG
rnacentral:rRNA from 1 species